rnacentral:rRNA from 1 species
CCCUUAGAUGUCCGGGGCUGCCCGCGCGCUACACUGAAGGAAUCAGCGUGCUAAAACCAUUGUCGAAAGGCAUUGGUAAACCCAUUAAAAUCCUACGUGAUUGGGAUCGGGAAUUGCAAUUAUUUCCCUUGAACGAGGAAUUCCCAGUAAGUGUGGGUCAUAAGCUCGCGUUGAUUACGUCCCUGCCCUUUGUACACACCGCCCGUCGCUGCCCGGGACUGAGCCGUUUCGAGAAAAGCGGGGACUGCUGCUGUCGGGGCUUUCGGGCCUUGGCUUCGGUGGAAACCGCUUUAAUCGCAGUGGCUUGAACCGGGCAAAAGUCGUAACA